GAUGAACGCUGGCGGCGUGCCUAAUACAUGCAAGUCGAGCGAACGGACGAGAAGCUUGCUUCUCUGAUGUUAGCGGCGGACGGGUGAGUAACACGUGGAUAACCUACCUAUAAGACUGGGAUAACUUCGGGAAACCGGAGCUAAUACCGGAUGAUAUUUUGAACCGCAUGGUUCAAAAGUGAAAGACGGUCUUGCUGUCACUUAUAGAUGGAUCCGCGCUGCAUUAGCUAGUUGGUAAGGUAACGGCUUACCAAGGCAACGAUGCAUAGCCGACCUGAGAGGGUGAUCGGCCACACUGGAACUGAGACACGGUCCAGACUCCUACGGGAAGCAGCAGUAGGGAAUCUUCCGCAAUGGGCGAAAGCCUGACGGAGCAACGCCGCGUGAGUGAUGAAGGUCUUCGGAUCGUAAAACUCUGUUAUUAGGGAAGAACAUAUGUGUAAGUAACUGUGCACAUCUUGACGGUACCUAAACAGAAAGCCACGGCUAACUACGUG
rnacentral:rRNA from 1 species